rnacentral:rRNA from 1 species
CCUACGGGCGGCAGCAGUGGGGAAUAUUGGGCAAUGGGCGCAAGCCUGACCCAGCAACGCCGCGUGAAGGAAGAAGGCUUUCGGGUUGUAAACUUCUUUUCUGAGGGACGAAGAAAGUGACGGUACCUCAGGAAUAAGCCACGGAGAACUACGUGCCAGCAGCCUCGGUAAUACGUAGGUGGCAAGCGUUAUCCGGAUUUCUUGGGUGUAAAGGGCGUGUAGGCGGGAAAGCAAGUCCGAUGUGAAAACUCAGGGCUCAACCCUGAGCCUGCAUUUGAAAAUGUUUUGCUUGAGUGCUGGAGAGGCAAUCGGAAUUCCGGGUGUAGCGGUGAAAUGCGUAGAUAUACGGAGGAACACCAGUGGCGAAGGCGGAUUGCUGGACAGUAACUGACGCUGAGGCGCGAAAGCGUGGGGAGCAAACAGGAUUAGAUACCCCUGUAGUC